GAUGAACGCUAGCUACAGGCUUAACACAUGCAAGUCGAGGGACCGGCGCUCGGGGGAGUAACACGUAUCCAACCUGCCCUUUACUCGGGGAUAGCCUUUCGAAAGAAAGAUUAAUCCCCGCUAUAAAGGAUUGGGAUGCGUUCCAUUAGGUUGUUGGUGAGGUAACGGCUCACCAAGCCUUCGACGGAUAGGGGUUCUGAGAGGAAGGUACCCCACGUUGGAACUGAGACACGGUCCAAACUCGUACUGGAGGCAGCAGUGAGGAGUAUUGGGGAAUGGGCGCGAGCCUUAACCAGCCAAGUAGCGUGAAGGAGGGAGGCUUAUGGGUCGUAAACUUCUUGUAUAUAAGAAUAUGUAUUAUAUGAAUAAGGAUCGGCUAACUCCGUGCCAGCAGCCGCGGUAAUUC
rnacentral:rRNA from 1 species